rnacentral:rRNA from 1 species
GACGAACGCUGGCGGCGUGCUUAACACAUGCAAGUCGAACGCUGAAGCUCAGCUUGCUGGGUGGAUGAGUGGCGAACGGGUGAGUAACACGUGAGUAACCUGCCCUCCUCUUUGGGAUAACGCCCGGAAACGGGUGCUAAUACUGGACAUUCACUGAUUCUCGCUUGGGGGUUGGUGGAAAGGAUUUGUCUGGUGGGGGAUGGGCUGGCGGCCUAGCAGCUUGUUGGUGGGGUGAUGGCCUACCAGGGCUUUGACGGGUAGCCGGGCUGAGAGGGUGACCGGGCACAUUGGGAAUGAGAGACAGCCCGGAACCCUACGGCAGGCCGGAGUGCGGAGUAAUGCACGAUGGGCGAACGCCUGAAGCAGCGCCGAAGCGUGAGGGAGGGAGGCCUUCGGGUUGUAGACCUCUUUCGCUCAUGAUCAAGCCGCUACUUGGGGUUGUAGUGACGGUAGUGGGUAAAGAAGCGCCGGCUAACUACGUG